GCUUUAACCCCCUGUGUUUCUCUCACUGACCGGCAUCAAACCAAACUUUCCUAGGCAAAACCUUCCUGGACCGCAGUUCAUGCAGACCAGACGGCUUUUCGAAAUGCCAAAACAAUCUCCUCCGUCUCGCUAGCCGCUGUUCCGUGCCACGGGGAUGUGGCCUGGAAGUGGAGCCAGCUGAGGCGUAGGCAGUGACGCUCCGUCCUCCGUCAGGCCAGGGUGUGGACGUGCACGCUGGGAACACUGGACGCAUUGUGGGAGGAGAGUCGGCUGCUUCGGCUACAGGGGAGCUCAGACGGCACUUUUGUCCACCAUACAAGAACAGUGGCUGACUACCAAGGCCACUUGUACAGGAGUGUGAUGUUCGGGUUGUUGGUGUUUCGUAGGCUUACUUAUUACAGUGGUGGAUUUGUCUGUUCAACUCUCUGUGUCUGUGGAUAAACUGUUGCUGUAAAUCAGCGGCAAGUCCAUGUGUAUUAUUCACUGUUCAUUUCUCAUUAUCUGAUAAUACAAUGAAGCACUUGGGCUAGGGUACCUGUGCAUAUCGGUAAGGGCACACGACUGUUUUUUAAAUGCCGGCAUUAAACCUUCUCUGAACUGGCAUUUCCUUGGUCUGAAAAGGUUGUUCCGUUUCCUCGUGCUAACCAUCCAUUUGGAUAUGGUUGUGAACUUUGUGUUGCCUUUGUGUUUUCUGUCUCUAAAUGUUGUCUGCCACUAGUAACCCCUUUGAAAUAAGUAAUAUUCUGAUGAUUGUGGUUCUUGGAAUUGGAUCAGCUCCAUUCAGCGGUAAUCUCAAAGGCAUUUAGGAAAUAUACAGUGAACUCUAAAUGUUUGAAGAGAGACAUGUUUUUCUGUAAUCCAGCACUUUGUAUUUCUAAUGAUAGAGUGACUACAUGGUCAGAUCCGACAGUUUUUUUUUAUCAAUGUCAUCUAAACCAUUUAGAAAUGACAGCCUGUUUUGUUCUUAGUCCUCCCAUCGUAAGGUAGCAAAAGGAUGUUAGCAUUAUGAACAAUAAAGAAGUCAUGUUCUUUUCAUGUAAUUUGCACCCCAUAGACAUGACCAGAUGAUGGGUAUCUUCUCUGAUUAUGCUCUGCCAGGCCUGUACUGCAGCCAUCUCCAGUUCCUGCUUGUUUAAUUUUGAUAGGAUGAUUGACUUGGCCCGUCAAUAACCUUUUAACCCUGAACAAAUCUUGGUAUCUAUGGCAUUGUGUUCCAGAUAAUUUCUUUGCUGCUUGAUUUAGGCGCUGUCCAAUAAAUUUAGCUUGACUGACA
ensembl:lncRNA